AUUGAACGCUGGCGGCAGGCCUAACACAUGCAAGUCGAACGGUAACAGGAAACAGCUUGCUGUUUCGCUGACGAGUGGCGGACGGGUGAGUAAUGUCUGGGAAACUGCCUGAUGGAGGGGGAAAACUACUGGAAACGGUAGCUAAUACCGCAUAACGUCGCAAGACCAAAGAGGGGGACCUUCGGGCCUCUUGCCAUCGGAUGUGCCCCGAUGGGAUUCGCUAGUAGGUGGGGGAACGGCUCACCUAGGCGACGAUCCCUAGCUGGUCUGAGAGGAUGACCAGCCACACUGGAACUGAGACACGGUCCAGACUCCUACGGGAGGCAGCAGUGGGGAAUCUUGCACAAUGGGCGAAAGCCUGAUGCAGCCAUGCCGCGUGUAUGAAGAAGGCCUUCGGGUUGUAAAGUACUUUCAGCGGGGAGGAAGGGAGUAAAAUUAAUACCUUUGCUCAUUGACGUUACCCGCUGAAGAAGCACCGGCUAACUCCGUG
rnacentral:rRNA from 1 species